rnacentral:tRNA from 1 species
UGCGGGGUCGGCUAAUGGCAGGCCAUGGGGCUUUGGACCCCAGAGUCCAGGUUCGAGUCCUGGCCCCGCAGCCA